GAUGAACGCUGGCGGCGUGCCUAAUAGAUGCAAGUCGAGCGAAUGGAUUAAGAGCUUGCUCUUAUGAAGUUAGCGGCGGACGGGUGAGUAACACGUGGGUAACCUGCCCAUAAGACUGGGAUAACUCCGGGAAACCGGGGCUAAUACCGGAUAACAUUUUGAACCGCAUGGUUCGAAAUUGAAAGGCGGCUUCGGCUGUCACUUAUGGAUGGACCCGCGUCGCAUUAGCUAGUUGGUGAGGUAACGGCUCACCAAGGCAACGAUGCGUAGCCGACCUUGUAGGGUGAUCGGCCACACUGGGACUGAGACACGGCCCAGACUCCUACGGGAGGCAGCAGUAGGGUAUCUUCCGGAAUGGACGAAAGGCUGACGGAGCAAGGCCGCGUGGGUGAUGAAGGCUUUCGGGUCGUAAAACUCUGUUGUUAGGGAAGAACAAGUGCUAGUUGAAUAAGCUGGCACCUUGACGGUACCUAACCAGAAAGCCACGGCUAACUACGUGCCAGCCGCCGCGGUAA
rnacentral:rRNA from 1 species